rnacentral:rRNA from 1 species
UCGGGAAUUUUGGGCAAUGGGCGAAAGCCUGACCCAGCAACGCCGCGUGAAGGAUGAAGUAUUUCGGUAUGUAAACUUCGAAAGAAUAGGAAGAAUAAAUGACGGUACUAUUUAUAAGGUCCGGCUAACUACGUGCCAGCAGCCGCGGUAAUACGUAGGGACCAAGCGUUGUUCGGAUUUACUGGGCGUAAAGGGCGCGUAGGCGGCAAUUCAAGUCAUCUGUGAAAUCUCCGGGCUUAACUCGGAACGGUCAGAUGAUACUGCUUUGCUAGAGUGCAGAAGGGGCAAUCGGAAUUCUUGGUGUAGCGGUGAAAUGCGUAGAUAUCAAGAGGAACACCUGAGGUCAAGACGGGUUGCUGGGCUGACACUGACGCUGAGGCGCGAAAGCCAGGGGAGCAAACGGGAUUAGAUACCCCGGUAGUCCCUGAGCGGGCUGGCAAGGCGCAU